AAUAAUAAUAAUCCGGAGCAAUUCCAUCUUCGUCUUGCAGGCUGCAGCCAUGGCUGAGGACCUCUGUAAGAGCGGCGGCGGCGGCGGCUAAGUCUAAUUUCCCAAACCUCUGCAAUGGAGGCGACUCCCACCGCCAAAACCCUAAUUCUCCUCUCCCCUAAUUCCCAUUCCCCCGCGGAUUUCAAUUCCCUCUUCAACAAUCUCAACGCCCUCAUCGCAUCUUCUUCAUUUUCUAACCCUAACCCCAAACCACCGCCCAACUUUCUCCGUUCCAAUUUGAAUUUCAAUUUUUUAUCCACCACGCUUUCCAAUCAGGAAUCUGUGAAGCCUCGGGAGAAAUCCGCAUCCUUCAAUUGGCUGAAACCGGCUACCAGAGAGUCUCCCAACGUUCGAGCUCUGCUCAAGAGUCUCUCCGUCGCUGAAAAGGCGGCAAUCGGUGCGGCUGCCGGAGGAAUUGCUGGUGCAUUCACCUACGUCUGCCUUCACCCACUCGACACGAUCAAAACCAAGCUCCAGACGAAAGGCGCCUCCGAAAUCUAUAAAGGUGCGUUCGAUGUUGUCGUCAAAACUUUCCAGAGUCGGGGGAUUCUCGGAUUCUAUAGCGGCGUUUCCGCGGUUAUUGUCGGUUCGACGUUUUCUUCCGCGGUGUAUUUCGGCACCUGCGAGUUCGGUAAGUCGAUACUGUCGAAAUUUGCGCAGUUUCCGGCGGUUUUGAUUCCGCCGACAGCCGGCGCGAUGGGGAACGUCAUGUCGUCGGCAAUCAUGGUGCCGAAGGAAUUGAUCACACAGAGGAUGCAGGCAGGUGCCAAAGGGAGGUCAUGGGAGGUUCUGUUAAGGAUUCUGGAGAAAGAUGGCGUUUUAGGGCUUUAUGCUGGUUAUAGUGCGACAUUGCUGAGGAAUUUACCCGCAGGAGUUUUAAGCUACUCUUCAUUUGAGUAUUUGAAAGCUGCAGUGUUGAGGGAGACCAAACAGACUAAUCUUGAGCCAUAUCAGAGUGUUGUUUGUGGGGCAAUGGCUGGUGCUGUAUCGGCUACAUUGACGACGCCAUUGGAUGUUGUGAAAACUAGAUUGAUGACUCAAGUGCACAGCGAGGCGAUGAAUAAGGUUGCUGCUGCAAUGUAUGGUGGCGUCGCAACUACAGUGAAGCAGAUACUGAAGGAAGAAGGGUGGAUUGGAUUUACUCGUGGGAUGGGACCUAGAGUGUUUCAUAGUGCUUGCUUUUCAGCUAUAGGGUACUUUGCAUUCGAGACGGCUCGGCUUACCAUUUUGAACCAGCACCUGAAGCGCAAGGAGGCUGAGGAGAUGGCGUUCGUGUCGGAUCACAAUCAAAGCGAAUGAAAUCGAGGGAGGAUUUCGAAUUUUAAUCAGGGAUUGAUGGUGUUGGGCUUUGUAGGGAGUAAUUUUACAAUGACUGAGGGCAUCAUCAUAAUAUAUGUUUAUUGGUACACGAUUGGUAUGGUCUGUGUUACAGCAAGUAUCUUUUGUUCGACAAUGCCUUAAGGUCCCCGUCCCUGUCCCGGGUUUCAUUACAUCUACCAAAUGCUUCCAUUGAAAAUGACCUUUGGAAACCAACCAUAGGAGCUUGCUAUAGCCAGCCAUUAUCUUGAAGAGGUACAUUAAUUAAUAGAAAACCAUUGGAUAAGCUUUCUUGAUUGAAGGGGUUGUUGAAGAUGAUGCAAUUAGGGUUCUUGAUGUUUGAAUAACUCUCUACUGAUUUGGUGACUGCUCCUUGUCAUUAAACUUAUUUAGCUCCAUCCCAUGAUGAAUAUAUAUAUCAUCUAAAGCCAACUUAUCUGUUUUGUCAUUAUUGAUUAGAGGAGUUCAUGAAUACCAAUGUAACUUUUAUGCUCUCAUCUGCUUUCUUGGAUCUUAGGAGAAGUUGAAAUUCUUGUGUAGAUUCAUUUAGAUUUAUUUAGAGGUGGAUAAUGAAACAAAUGGAUGAACACAAAUUUAGUAAUGUAGAGAGAGAGAGAGACAGAGAGGGAGAGGUUGAUUGAUGUAGUAAUGCUACCACACAGACACACUUAUAUUCAUAUCAAAAUUGAGGUCAAUUGAAAUGGCAGCUUAGCUACUCUUUUAUUUAUUUAUUUAUAUAUAACUAAUAAUUGUGAAAUGGCAUUGCCAGCUGCAUGCAUAGGACAUAGGAUUAAUUAUUUAGGGGCCAUUUUUGUCUUGUACUGCAAACAUGGAAGCAACCAUUAUUCAGGGUUUUGUGGACACUGCUAAAAUAAUUGUACUAUGAAUGAUGAUAUUCUUAAAUACUCAAAUUAUUAGUCUAUCAUUCUUAUCUCUAUCUACUUCUUUCUAUACA